AACAAAGUGUAAAAUGUAUGUUCAAUAUAGUACUUCAAUAUAAAUAUUCGUUUACAUUGUUAACACACAUUCAACUUCAUUCCACUCUAAAUUCUUAAUUAAGUGAGGAAAUGUAAGCAUAAAAGUUUCAAAAAGAAAUUAUGCGAGAAAAAUCAUUUUGGGGCAGAAACAACAAUCAGGAUACCACAAGCAGUUAGCAUCAGUAGCAACCAAGAGUAACCAGCGACAAAAUCUUCUUAGAAAUGAUUAUAUAGUACAAUAAGAAAUAAGAUUAUUUAUUGUAAGAUGAUUAUACAAAAUGUAUUUUGAAUGAGU